GUAGUUUGACUCCGUGGCUACAGGACGAACGCUGGCGGCGUGCUUAACACAUGCAAGUCGAGCGGAGACAUGGAACGGAAAGCUUCGGCCGGAAGAUUCAUGUUUUAGCGGCGGACGGGUGAGUAACGCGUGAGCAACCUGUCCUUCACAGGGGGAUAAGAUACCGAAAGGUGUUCUAAUACCGCAUGAGACCACAAUGCCACAUGGCGAAGGGGUCAAAGGAGCAAUCCGGUGAAGGGUGGGCUCGCGUCCGAUUAGAUAGUUGGUGAGGUAACGGCCCACCAAGUCAACGAUCGGUAGCCGACCUGAGAGGGUGAUCGGCCACAUUGGGACUGAGACACGGCCCAGACUCCUACGGGAGGCAGCAGUGGGGAAUAUUGGGCAAUGGGGGGAACCCUGACCCAGCAACGCCGCGUGGAGGAAGAAGGUCUUCGGAUCGUAAACUCCUGUCCUAAGAGACGAGCAGGAGACGGUAUCUUAGGAGGAAGCCCCGGCUAACUACGUGCC
rnacentral:rRNA from 1 species